UUUUGGGUACGGUGUUGGCACGGUUCAAUUCAACCACUGCACUGCUACAAGCAUGAUAGUGUGAUUGAGCCGUGCCAAUAUCAUGCGCAACUAG
rnacentral:pre_miRNA from 1 species